rnacentral:rRNA from 1 species
AGUGAACGCUGGCGGUAGGCCUAACACAUGCAAGUCGAACGGCAGCACAGUAAGAGCUUGCUCUUACGGGUGGCGAGUGGCGGACGGGUGAGGAAUACAUCGGAAUCUACUUUUUCGUGGGGGAUAACGUAGGGAAACCUACGCUAAUACCGCAUACGACCUACGGGUGAAAGCAGGGGAUCUUCGGACCUUGCGCGAUUGAAUGAGCCGAUGUCGGAUUAGCUAGUUGGCGGGGUAAAGGCCCACCAAGGCGACGAUCCGUAGCUGGUCUGAGAGGAUGAUCAGCCACACUGGAACUGAGACACGGUCCAGACUCCUACGGGAGGCAGCAGUGGGGAAUAUUGGACAAUGGGCGCAAGCCUGAUCCAGCCAUACCGCGUGGGUGAAGAAGGCCUUCGGGUUGUAAAGCCCUUUUGUUGGGAAAGAAAAGCAGCAGGUUAAUACCCCGCUGUUCUGACGGUACCCAAAGAAUAAGCUCCGGCUAACUUCGUG